rnacentral:rRNA from 1 species
AGCAGCCGCGGUAAAUUCCAGCUCCAAUAGCGUAUAUUAAAGUUGUUGCAGUUAAAAAGCUCGUAGUUGAAUUUCGGGAUUAGUACGCUGGUCGUGCCUUCGGUACGUACUGGUGUUACUGAUUUCUACCUUCUGACGAACCAUCAUGUCAUUAAUUUGGUGUGGUGGGGAAUCAGGACUGUUACUUUGAAAAAAUUAGAGUGUUUAAAGCAGGCUCGCGCUUGAAUACAUUAGCAUGGAAUAAUGAAAUAGGACGUUGAUCCUAUUUUGUUGGUUUCUAGGAUUGACGUAAUGAUUAAUAGGGAUAGUUGGGGGCAUUAGUAUUCAAUUGUCAGAGGUGAAAUUCUUGGAUUUAUUGAAGACUAACUACUGCGAAAGCAUUUGCCAAGGAUGUUUUCAU